rnacentral:rRNA from 1 species
AUUGAACGCUGGCGGCAUGCCUUACACAUGCAAGUCGAACGGUAACAGGUCUUCGGAUGCUGACGAGUGGCGAACGGGCGAGUAAUACAUCGGAACGUGCCUAGUAGUGGGGGAUAACUACUCGAAAGAGUGGCUAAUACCGCAUGAGAUCUACGGAUGAAAGCAGGAGAUCGCAAGACCUUGUGCUACUAGAGCGGCCGAUGGCAGAUUAGGUAAUUGGUGGGAUAAAAGCUUACCAAGCCGACGAACUGUAGCUGGUUUGAGAGGACGAUCAGCCACACUGGGACUGAGACACGGUCCAGACUCCUACGGGAGGCAGCAGUGGGGAAUUUUGGACAAUGGGCGCAAGCCUGAUCCAGCAAUGCCGCGUGCAGGAUGAAGGCCUUCGGGUUGUAAGCUGCUUUUGUACGGAACGAAAAGCCCUGGGUUAAUACCCUGGGGUCAUGACGGUACCGUAAGAAUAAGCACCGGCUAACUACGUGCCAGCCGCCGCCGUAAGAC